AUGGCAUCUUCGGGCAGCGCGGGGAGAGACGUGCCGGCGGCGAGGGCGGUGAACGACCUGAUCGAGGCGCGCGAGGGGGCGACGAGGCUCAAGGGCAUGCUGCAGGAGCAGUCGUCGGAGUUGACAGAGCUGAUGGACGGGAUGCUCAACAAGCUGUCCAGCGCUCUGUCGGCGUUGGACACCGGCUGCACGGCCGGAGCGUCCGCGUCCGGGUCGGCCGAUGGGGUGAUCAGGGCGAGGGCGGAGAGCUCGACCGGGAGGACGAGGAAACGCAGCUUCAGCAGAAGAUUAGAAGGCUUCUCUGGCAAGCGGGUGACUGACACGCUGGUUGAUGGUCACAUAUGGCGGAAAUACGGGCAGAAAGAAAUCCAAAACUCAACUCAUCCGAGGAGCUAUUACAGGUGUACGCACAAAUCAGACCAAGGCUGCAACGCCAAGAGGCAAGCCCAGAUCUGCGAGACCCAUCCAAUCAAGUACGACGUCACGUACUACGGCGAGCACACCUGCAAGCCUCCCUCCAAUACCCCAAUGAUCAUUGCCGCUGCGAGCGACGACCGCGCAGAAAACCUCGUCAGUUUUGCCCCGACGUUUCCUCAGUUGGGCCAGGCCACUACUCAGCUGUCCUCCUCCUGGUGCACCAGCGUUGACGACGUGUUCAGCUCCUCGUCCGACCCGUUCGUGCAGGCGCACGAGCUCGCCGCCGUCGUGGGAUCGGCCGGGAGGACGUCCUCGACGGUGGGGUCGGUGCCGGACCACAGCGGGAGUGGGAUCGGCGACAUGGCGGGAGGCGGCCAGGGUGGCGGCACGGGCAGUUUCCCGUCGUCGCCGAGCAGCCUCGGGUUCGUGGUGGGCUCUCUGGGCAGCAUCGGAAAUGACGAUUUUUUCCUGUUCGAUCCAUGA
rnacentral:rRNA from 1 species